rnacentral:rRNA from 1 species
UACGAAGGGGGCUAGCGUUGCUCGGAAUCACUGGGCGUAAAGCGCACGUAGGCGGACUCUUAAGUCGGUGGUGAAAUCCUGGAGCUCAACUCCAGAACUGCCUCCGAUACUGGGAGUCUUGGAGUCCGGGAGAGGUGAGUGGAACUGCGAGUGUAGAGGUGAAAUUCGUAGAUAUUCGCAAGAACACCAGUGGCGAAGGCGGCUCACUGGCCCGGUACUGACGCUGAGGUGCGAAAGCGUGGGGAGCAAACAGG